rnacentral:rRNA from 1 species
AUGCAGUUUCUAAAUUUUUUUCAAAAAUUUCUUCCAUGUCACAGGCACUAUGGAGAUAUUGAAGAAAUAAGUGUAGAGGAGCCAAUCGAAAGUAGGCCACCACUGUACGCGCACGUUACAUUUUACUCACAGAUGACACUCUUCUGUGUUCUAGACGGGAAUAUGAGAGUCAAGUUCAUGACCAGGGGAAAACAUCUAUGGGCUCGACAGUUUGUGCCAAUGAAGAAGAAGAAAACUGAUGUCUGA